UUUGCGUAUUUCUACACAUUUCAGGUGGCUGUUAUGUCAUAGUUCCAGAAUCUCAUCGCAAGUCGCGUGCCGAGGACCCCGUAAUCUCCUCCCGUACAGGAAGACGGCAGCCGUCGGUGAUGCCUCGGUGGGACGCAGUAACGAUACGUCAGCAGCACUAUAGAGCGUUCUGCGGGUGCUGUGAGCGACGGCAGCUGCUCGCGUCAGAAGGUGUCGGGACGCGGCCCGUGGUCGGCGGAUGCGAGAAGUGAAUCCGGUACUCGAUAAGUCGUCUCAGGAGUAACCCCGCCGCACUGCUUAGUGAACGCGGCUCUCCCUGUGUGGUGCGGCCGCUCUGUUAAAGGGACAGCAGACAGAGUGGGGGG